rnacentral:rRNA from 1 species
UGGGGAAUAUUGGACAAUGGGGGCAACCCUGAUCCAGCAAUGCCGCGUGUGUGAAAAAGGUCUUCGGAUUGUAAAGCACUUUCGACGGGGAUGAUGAUGACGGUACCCGUAGAAGAAGCCCCGGCUAACUUCGUGCCAGCAGCCGCGGUAAUACGAAGGGGGCUAGCGUUGCUCGGAAUGACUGGGCGUAAAGGGCGUGUAGGCGGUUUACACAGUCAGAUGUGAAAUCCCCGGGCUUAACCUGGGAGCUGCAUUUGAUACGUGUAGACUAGAGUGUGAGAGAGGGUUGUGGAAUUCCCAGUGUAGAGGUGAAAUUCGUAGAUAUUGGGAAGAACACCGGUGGCGAAGGCGGCAACCUGGCUCAUGACUGACGCUGAGGCGCGAAAGCGUGGGGGAGCAAACAGGAUUAGAUACCCUGGUAGUCCACGCUGUAAACGAUGUGUGCUAGAUGUUGGGCUAACUUUGUUAUUCAGUGUCGCAGUUAACGCGUUAAGCACACCGCCUGGGGAGUACGGCCGCAAGGUUGAAAC